GACUCUCGGCAACGGAUAUCUCGGCUCACGCAUCGAUGAAGAACGUAGCAAAAUGCGAUACUUGGUGUGAAUUGCAGAAUCCCGUGAACCAUCGAGUUUUUGAACGCAAGUUGCGCCCAAAGCCUUUCGGCCAAGGGCACGUCUGCCUGGGCGUCACAC
rnacentral:rRNA from 5 species